UACGAAGGGUGCAAGCGUUAAUCGGAAUUACUGGGCGUAAAGCGCGCGUAGGUGGUUCAGCAAGUUGGAGGUGAAAUCCCCGGGCUCAACCUGGGAACUGCCUCCAAAACUACUGAGCUAGAGUACGGUAGAGGGUGGUGGAAUUUCCUGUGUAGCGGUGAAAUGCGUAGAGAUCAGGAAGAACAUCGGUGGCGAAGGCGCUCUGCUGGACCAUAACUGACACUCAGGGACGAAAGCUAGGGGAGCGAAUGGG
rnacentral:rRNA from 1 species